CAGAGAUGUGUAGAAUGACAGAGGUAGAUUAGUUCGAGUGGGAAGGUAAUAAUUGAUAGAAGCUAUGAUUUUCAUCCAUCGACUGGAUUAUUGUGUUGUGGAUUAGUCUGUUGAUUCAAUGGAUUAUUAUUUCCUUUUCAAUGACCUCCCUGCCGAAUCCGAAAAGUGUAACACAAAUAGAAUAAACACAUAGUGGGAAGGCGACUCUACAACUGUAUCCUGAGCAAGUGACAACCUGAUAUUUGACUUUCUCAAGCACAGAGACUGUUGAGUGUACUUAUCUAAAAACAAAUUUGUACAGCACAUGCAUCCUUAGACAGAAACAUAACACAAACCCCUAAAAACUUGUAUCCACACAUCGAAAAGGAAUACCAUUCUGUUUACCUGUACCUCAUCAGAAGUGGAUUUUAAGGGAGUACUGAGCAGUUUUCUUGUACUUUGAAAGGAUCAUUUUGAAGAUAGCAAGCUAAGAAAUAAUGUCAGAUCAUCAGAUCAGAUGUAUACAGCUGCAAAUUUUACUCUUUUUUUUUGCUUGAAUCCAGUAUGCUAAUAUUUUAAUGGAUAUGAGAGUACUAUUAAACUCAAGUUGAAUUAAGGGAUUAUAAUCUGAAAAGACAGUAAGUGACAGUUUUCUUCUUUUCCUUUAUUAAAGAUCUAUUCAUUCUUAAACCAUUAUUAUUUUAUUUUUUUAUCUUAAAUUAUUUGACUUUGUUUUUUUCUGUUGGAGGAUUAAUGUAGACAUAAAGUCUUGUAACUUAAAUUGGUAAAAAGUUUUCUGUAUGAGACUUUUACUGAUUGUAUUUAAUAACUUAAUGAAUCUAAUAGAAUUUGGGUUUAGGGAAAGAAACUAACUACCAUGUUUUAUGAAAUAAAGUAAUAUUUGUUCAAAUUUUUUUUUUUUUUACAUUUCAAAUUUAUAAUUUGUGUUCAUUGACACUUUAUCAAAUGUAAAAAUGUAUAAAGAAAGACAUUGGUUGGUUUUAUGGCUCCAUUCAUCAUCAAGUGCUAGACUGGAAGUUCUCAAGUCAUUUAUUACUUAUCAAGGCUUAUUUCAUCAUCAAGUAGAAAAGUCAUUAAAGUCUCAAGUCAAUUAUCUUUAUCAAGGCUCAAAAGGAAUACAAGACAGAAGUCUCAAAUGAAGAGAGGUGAGGGUUAAGAAAAUUCAAAUGUUUAACUUGUGUAUUAGAAACUUCAAACUAUUUUAGAAACUUCAAACUAUUUUAUCCACACAUUUGUACUAUUCUUCAUUACCAAUAUGAUAUAUUGUUUGUUAGCCACAACACUAAAACUUAAUGAUUUCUUGACAUUGUUUUGGUUCAUUCUCACUCUUGUUUUAAAUGUCUUGUGAAAUUAAGGUCCACAUCACACAACAAAAAUUUAUUGUUAAAUAGACCAUGAUAUUACACAAAUACAGUUUUCUUUUUUAAUAAACAGAUAAGUUUGAGAUUUCUUGAGAUUACAUUUUUCUAUAUUACAUAAUGAUCACAUAUUUCAACACAAUUCAAUAUUGCAAUAUUGCAAAUAAUGCAUGAUUAUUUCUGAAGAAAUGUAAACUUCCCUUUUGCUUGAGAUUAAUUAUUUGUAAAACAUGAUCUAUCUAUUGCCUCAUUUAAUAGAAGCUUUAAUCUUUGCAAAGCUUAGACCACACUUUCUCCAGAAUAGUGUUUCCUAAUUGCAAUAUUUAAAAGUAUUAAAUUUCCUUUCUCUCAUAUGGCAACAUAGCAUUAAUUUCUCUUUGUAAAAUUAUAAAUUCUUGUCAAUUGAGCAUGAAUGCUUCCAAAAUACUGAUUCUUUUUAGCAUCAAUCGGACCAUGACAUUAUUUACAGAAUUUUUUUCUGAAUUGCAUGGUCUGAUUAUUACCAAAAUAAUAGAUUCAUAUUUAAUUUAGCAUCUCUUUAUAUCUCUCUUCACAAAUUAAGGAAUCUCUUAAAUUUUUUUUUCACAAAUUAAGCAAUAUUUUUAUAUCUCUCUUCACAAAUUAAGCAAUCUCUUUAU